UGCGUUUUUGGUCAUAAAAAAGGUCUUCCUCUACUCGGAUCUGGGUGUCAAUUUUUUUCUACACUUUUCGGUGUAUUUUGUGCAAGAAUAUGCAAUAAAAUCUUCUGCCUAAGAAAAAUUGAAUAUUUUAGAAAGUUUUUUAUGCUUUUCGAUGCGUUUUUGGUCAUAAAAAGGGUCUUCCUCUACUCGGAUCUGGGUGUCAAUUUUUUUCUACACUUUUCGGUGUAUUUUGUGCAAGAAUAUGCAAUAAAAUCUUCUGCCUAAGAAAAAUUGAAUUUUUUUUGAAAGUUUUUUAUGCUUUUCGAUGCGUUUUUGGUCAUAAAAAGGGUCUUCCUCUACUCGGAUCUGGGUGUCAAUUUUUUUCUACACUUUUCGGUGUAUUUUGUGCAAGAAUAUGCAAUAAAAUCUUCUGCCUAAGAAAAAUUGAAUUUUUUUUGAAAGUUUUUUAUGCUUUUGGAUGCGUUUUUGGUCAUAAAAAAGGUCUUCCUCUACUCGGAUCUGGGUGUCAAUUUUUUUCUACACUUUUCGGUGUAUUUUGUGCAAGAAUAUGCAAUAAAAUCUUCUGCCUAAGAAAAAUUGAAUUUUUUCGGUAAGUUUUUUAUGCUUUUGGAUGCGUUUUUGGUCAUAAAAAAGGUCUUCCUCUACUCGGAUCUGGGUGUCAAUUUUUUUCUACACUUUUCGGUGUAUUUUGUGCAAGAAUAUGCAAUAAAAUCUUCUGCCUAAGAAAAAUUGAAUUUUUUCGGUAAGUUUUUUAUGCUUUUGGAUGCGUUUUUGGUCAUAAAAAAGGUCUUCCUCUACUCGGAUCUGGGUGUCAAUUUUUUUCUACACUUUUCGGUGUAUUUUAUGCAAGAAUAUGCAAUAAAAUCGUCUGCCUAAGAAAAAUUGA